UAGCUAAUCUGAUGUUACAAUAAACAUAAAAUACAGAUGAAAUGUGAAGACCUUAGUGCUAGAAAUACUUACACGCAUUAUUCAUGCAUGCUAAAUUAUAAUAGAGAAUGCAUGCAUGAUGCAUUCAAGUAUAAAAAAAAAAGUUACAAAUGUUUAACUAUACAAAAAGAUUAUGGAUGUGGUACCGCAAGUAUAUUCAAUUGAUUAUGCAAGGAAGUUGUCCUACUUUACAUUUUUGAAGACUAAUAAUAAUUGUAAUGAACAUAUGUCAAACAAUAUACACUCGGAUUUACAUUUUAGUUAAACCAUCCUCACAUAUUUGCUAUAUCAAAACACAAACUAAUGGAUUGAUCAAUGAAACUGUCGGUAUCUUCACAACUUUUCAAUUGAAUAGAAAGUUUCAAUCAAACAUGAUACUGAGUAUACCUACUGCUCCUCAAGACAAUCGAUAAUGGAAGUUAUCAAACUACAAGUUUUUUUAAUAACGUUUUUACUAUAUAAAUGUUAUAGAUUUUACAGAGUGUUAAAGAAAAGUUCUCUAUCAAUUGUUAUUAUAUUUACUCAAUGUACUAAUGUAUAUUCUUUUACAUUCUAUAAAACUAUGGCUUUGUAAAGUUGUUAAAUGAAUAAUUUAAAUGAAUAGAAUGAAGAUGUUUAUUGAGUUAUUUUUAUUAUUUUUAGAAAAGAGAUUGUAUGACUUCGGUAUCCGCGAUACAGUAUCGUGCAUUGGUUCCCACCUUAACUUCCUUCCGUAUAGGUGGAAAUAGGAAAGGUUAUGUCUUUUUUUCUAAUUCUUAAGACGAAGUAGCUUAAUCGGUUCAAGCAAAGAUGACGAUGAUCAUUAUGGAGCCGAUCAUGAUGACGAAUACAAUAAUGCAUAUAAUAAUAAAUAAAAUGAUUUUACUUGUAUUUUAGACUUAUAUAAAGGAAGAAUUAUCUGUUUAACGUUU